rnacentral:rRNA from 1 species
AGCAGUAGCCGCGGUAACACGGAGGGAGCUAGCGUUGUUCGGAAUUACUGGGCGUAAAGCGCACGUAGGCGGCUUUGUAAGUUAGAGGUGAAAGCCUGGGGCUCAACUCCAGAAUUGCCUUUAAGACUGCAUCGCUUGAAUCAUGGAGAGGCGGGUGGAAUUCCGAGUGUAGAGGUGAAAUUCGUAGAUAUUCGGAGGAACACCAGUGGCGAAGGCGGCUCACUGGGCCAAUACUGACGCUCAUGCACGAAAGCGUGGGGAGCAAACAGGAUUAGAUACCCGUGUAGUCCCUGUCUCUUAUAU